UCUACAUUGUGAUCAAUCAGA
rnacentral:piRNA from 1 species